AGGGAUGAAGCUCCCUCCUGCCGCUCAGACAUGAACAUCACAGGGGCCUGGGGGCGGGGCUACACCGGGAAGGGUGUCGUGGUUACCAUUUUGGACGACGGCAUUGAGAGAAACCACGCCGAUCUCGUGCAGAAUUAUGAUGCUAAGGCUAGCUAUGAUGUCAUCGGGCAUGACCAUGACCCAAUGCCUCCAUAUAAUUCCAGCGAAGAGAACAAUCACGGAACGCGAUGCGCCGGGGUAGUGGCAGCGUCCGCCAACAACUCCGUGUGCGGAGUCGGAGUCGCUUUCAACGCCAAAAUCGGGGGUGAGCACCGCCGCUGCCGUGGCGACGGUUACGACG